AGAAAAACUAAAAACACAGUGUGAUGAACUGAAAGCUUUAUACGAGAAGUACCAAGAGAAAGAUAUUCUUAUGAUCGAGGAUUUAAUGGCACUUGAGAAAAAAACAUUAAAUAGAGGAAAAUCCGUAUCUGUUAUUUGCAAGAAGUUUGGAAAUAGGCUAACUUAUUUUUCGGAGUUCAUUCACAACGUUGCUGUUUGUGCUGAGUAAAAUGAAUUGCCCAUUUA
rnacentral:lncRNA from 1 species